CUUCGGCCCGAGUUGUAAUUUGCAGAGGAUGUUUAUGGUGCGGUACCUUCCGAGUUCCCUGGAACGGGACGCCACAGAGGGUGAGAGCCCCGUCUGGUUGGAUACCAAACCUGUGUUAAACUCCUUCAACGAGUCGAGUAGUUUGGGAAUGCUGCUCUAAAUGGGAGGUAAAUCUCUUCUAAAGCUAAAUACCGGCCAGAGACCGAUAGCGCACAAGUAGAGUGAUCGAAAGAUGAAAAGCACCUUGAAAAGGGGGUUAAACAGUACGUGAAAUUGUUAAAAGGGAAGCGUUUAUGACCAGACUUGUGUCGUGUGGCUCAUCCGAGGUUCUCCCCGGUGCACUCCACACGGCUCAGGCCAACAUCGGUUCUCGUUGGGGGAUAAGAACAGUAGGAACGUGGCCCCUCUUGGGGGGUGUUAUAGCCUACUGUACGAUACCCUGAUGGGGACCGAGGACCGCGCUUCGGCUAGGAUGUUGGCGUAAUGGUCAUUAGCGACCCGUCUUGAAACACGGACCAAGGAGUCGUCCAUUAGAGCGAGCGUUUGGGUGUAAAACCCGCACGCGUAAUGAAAGUGAAAUUAGGUGAGAGCUUCGGCGCAUCAUCGACCGAUCCUGAAGUUUACGGAUGGAUUUGAGUAAGAGUUUUAACGGACGGACCCGAAAGACAGUGAACUAUGCUUGAAUAGGGUGAAGCCAGAGGAAACUCUGGUGGAGGCUCGCAGCGGUUCUGACGUGCAAAUCGAUCGUCAAAUUUGAGCAUGGGGGCGAAAGACUAAUCGAACUGUCUAGUAGC
rnacentral:rRNA from 1 species